UACGUAGGGGGCGAGCGUUUGUCCGGAUUCACUGGGCGUAAAGCGCACGUAGGCGGCUUUUUAAGUCAGGGGUGAAAUCCUGGAGCUCAACUCCAGAACUGCCUUUGGAUACUGAGAAGCUUGAGUUCGGGAGAGGUGAGUGGAACUGCGAGUGUAGAGGUGAAAUGCGUAGAUAUCGGGAGGAACACCAGUGGCGAAGGCGACUACCUGCCUGUUCUUGACGCUGAGGCGCGAAAGCUAGGGGAGCAAACGGG
rnacentral:rRNA from 1 species